CCUCGAGGACCACCUUGCGCAUGCGCCCCAGCUCCCGGAGGUAAGCGGCCGUGUGCGGGUGGUCUUGGUGAAUGUGCAAGGCCGCGGUGGCUGCGUGACAAGCCUGUGCUACCAGUGCGCCCGCUGGCCAGGAAAACGGCGCCUGUGAUAGAUCCUUUCGUAACACCAGGUACUGUACCAGGACCUGCGGCUCUGCGCCAGCGACCGCCAUCUUCCCGCACAACUGAAAGGCCUGGCCUAUCCCCCGAUGCAUGCCGGGAUCAGGGAGGGGCCCUGAGCGCUGCCAUGUUUUUAUACGGUGGGAGUGCAAAGCACGCUGGGACCGGUUGGCUUGGAUUUGAAGGCAAGCGGGAACUGUCGGCCCUGGCCUGAGUGAGCCAGAGGAGAGGAGGACAGCCCUAUUACUGGUGCUUGGACAGCUUUCUAGCAAGUCUCUUGGAAAUCUGAGGAGGAGAUGGAGCUGGCGAAUACUCUAAGUCAAGACGGCGAGUCCAGAAGAGGUGUUUUAGCUCACUUGGAAAGACUAGAGACUCAAGUGAGCAGAUGCCGUAAAAAACUGGAAGAGCCACAGAGCGCACAGGCAGUGGAAAGUGCUCUUGGAACCAGGAUUCAUGAAUUGAGACGUCUGCGAGAUAAGCUGAGGGCUGAAGUGAAACAACAUCAAGCUAGAGUUAAAGCAUCUACUACCAAUGUAGAACCGGACCAAACAUUAGAGAUUACUGAGCAAGAAUUUUUGAAGAGAAAACGGGAAAACGUGCAAGCCAUUCUGCAGGCAUAUCGUUUUACAGGGAUCAGCGGGAAACUGACCAGCCGAGGAGUCUGUGUCUGCAUCGGCACUGCUUUUGAGGGGAAUCUGCUGGAUUCCUAUUUUGUGGACCUUGUCAUGCAGAAACCACCUCAGAUACAUCACCAUUCGAUUCCAGUCUUCAUUCCCCUAGAGGAGAUAUCUGCAAAAUACUUACAGACUAAUAUUCAGCACUUCCUGUUCACUCUCUGCGAGUACCUGAAUGCUUACUCUGGGAGGAAGUACCAGGCAGAUCGACUUCAGAGUGACUUUGCAGCCUUUCUGGCUGGGCCCUUGCAGAGAAACUCACUGUGCAACUUGCUGUCAUUUACUUACAAAGCAGAGCCGGAAGGCCAGUCCUUCCCAUUUUGUGCUAGACUGCUGUAUAAGGACCUCACGACAACUCUUCCAACUGAUGUCACUGUUACUUAUCAAGGGACGGAUGCAUUAUCCACCACACGGGAAGAACAGCGAGCAGCCCAUGAAAAUCUGUUUUUUACAAAGCCCCUACAUCAAGUGUUUACUUCAUUUGCAAGCAAAGGAGACAAGUUGGAUAUGAGCCUGGUCUCCUAGAAUAUUAUUUUCAUUGGGAACACAUCAGAAAGGGAAGCGGACCCCCCUCCUUUGUCUCUUCCCUCCCCUGCAAGCUCCAGGCCCUGGCUGCACAUGUGUCUUCCUCAUCUCCUAGUCCAGGUAAAAGGAAAUAUUGCACUUUCUGCUCUCAUGACUAAGGUGACUGGGGUUCCAGAAGAACCUUUCAAGAUUAUCAGGACGAGGCCCAUUUUUCACGUAACUCGGACCACAGAGGCAAGCAGGUCUUCAGAGUGAAAAGCGCUGCUUCCAAGUUCUAGCCGGGGAGCAGAGCAGCUGCCAGCCCUCAUGGUAAACAGAGCUGCGCCACCUGUGCCCCCCGCCAGGCACGAAGGCAGCAGCCUUGUUCCUCCUCUGGUACAUUCCUGCUCACAGCGGCCAUGGCCUCUCUGGGGGAAGGAGGGCUGGUCGGAACUAGGGCUCUGGAAGGAUUAUUCCAGUACUAUGCCUAAGAGCCCUACUCUCUGGGGAAGCUACAGGCACACCAAGGAAGAGUAUGGCCACCCUCAGAGCUCACACAUCCAUAAACAAAUGAAGGCUUGAGAUUUUUUUUAAACCUAAAGUCUAUGUGAGUGUGUACUUCAACAGCUUGGGAAUGUUGGGACUUGGUCAUUUGUCCUUUCCCAAGGCCUUUCUUUGAUUCCAAAAAAUAAACUCUCCCUCCCGUGUGGACUCU